CCAAUCCCCAUCUGUUCUCAUCCUCCCCAUCUGUGGAGCUCCUGCAGUGGCUCAGGCACUGUACAGGGUGCUGGGGGCACAGUUUCAAGCAAGAUGAAACAGCUUCUGUUAUCUUGGUGUCUGUGACCCAGAUGUGGUUAUUAGAACUUAGUCGUUGAAAUCUAAAUCAUUUGGGGGAAUUUACAGUUGAAUUUCUGAUUGGGAAGAUCAUAAACUCACUAUUUUUGAAAUCCACCAAUGGCCUGUUUUCUUACCUACAGGAUUCUGCUUCAGGAAAAAAGAAAUUGCCUCCUUAUGCAGCUGGAAGAAGCCACCCGCCUCGCGUCCUAUCUCCAGUCCCAUUUAAAAAGGAGGAGCUGGAGGCAGCCUGCAAGAAAUGGGAGCUCUCUCUGGAACAUCAGGACGACCAGCGUGAAGGACAAGGACUCCGCGAUAAGGUGGACAAUCAUGCGCCGUGAGUUUCAUUCAAGUCGCUUGUUCUCAUUGGGGCUUUGAAGGAGGCCUCCGUAUUCAGAAAUGUCAUGUGUUCAUCAUUUUUCUGGAUCUGCCCAUUGCAGGCUCAAAAGCAUGGUCAGUGGAAACCACGGGAUAGAAAAUACUUGCUUUCUUGCUGGGCGGGAGAGUAAGGAGCCAUCACAUUGCUGUGAUACAUAGGAUUGUCAAUUCGCAAAUUCUGAGCGGUAAGUUGUCACUUGCUAAGGAACUAAUGACGCUUUAACUUGCUGAUGGGAAAUAGUACCUUCUAGUUCCCGGUACAGCUAGCCACCCGAUUGCCCGUGCUGGCAUCUGCUGGGCUCCGACCACGUCUAAUGAAAACCUUCUGCUUAUUUCGACACCGCGUCUAAAGUGGGAGACAUCCUGGCACCUUCUACCGACAGCCGGGGAGGCCGGUGUCUUCUUCAAGGCAGGCACGAGCUUGGAACACAUGAGCUGUUGGGCACAAUUAAUUCACAGUCAGCCAGGGUCAGCCUGAUACAGACGGCCUGACCUUCUCAAAAUACAAAAGGGCAUCACAGCCCGGCUCGCGUACAGCUGAGCUGGGCACAGCCAUUCGCCACUGGAAAGAUCCUUCUCUCUGUUCUCUCUCCAGUAAGUGGACUGUGCCCCGGGUCACUGUUUGAGGCCGCAGUUUCAGAGAUGGAAUAUUUAAUGAAGUUGAGGCCCCUGGUCUCUCAUCCACGGAGUUUAUUUUGACCCUGAGAUUACAUGAAAGUCUGUCCUAUGAACUGAUUGCCUCUUUUAAUUUUUCUGGUCUGUAUUGGCCCUAAGAAAUGAAUCAUCAAAUCAUCAGACAUAGAGAAACCCGAUAUCAUAAAAUUUGUACACUUUUAAAAAAUUGUUUUAUUUUUUAAAGAUUUUUAUUUCUUUAUUUGAGACAGGGAGAGUGAGAGUAUGAGCAGGGAGAGGGGCAGAGGGAGAGUGACAAGGAGCCGGCCUGCUGAACAGGGAGCCCGACGCGGGCCUCGAUCCCAGGACCCCGAGAUCAUGACCUGAGCUGAAGGCAGACGCUUAACCGACUGAGCCACCCAGGUGCCCCAAAUUCAUAUGCUUUUUAAAAAGAAAGAAAAAAGAAAUCUCUGUACACAGAUUCUUAGCUAAUAUUUCUUAAAAGUAGUUUUCUUUUUUUUGUAACCUACAAGCUUAUUCUUUCAAAACUAGUCACUGUUUUGUGGUUGAUGAAUGUUUUCAGCUUAGGAGCCAUGGGCAUUUUUCCCGCUGCCCACUUCCUGUAGGUUACAGCCCCAUCCAGAU
rnacentral:lncRNA from 1 species